AGCUAGCGGCGGACGGGUGAGUAAUGCUUAGGAAUCUGCCUAUUAGUGGGGGACAACGUUUCGAAAGGAACGCUAAUACCGCAUACGUCCUACGGGAGAAAGCAGGGGACCUUCGGGCCUUGCGCUAUCAGAUGAGCCUAGGUCGGAUUAGCUAGUUGGUGAGGUAAUGGCUCACCAAGGCGACGAUCCGUAACUGGUCUGAGAGGAUGAUCAGUCACACUGGAACUGAGACACGGUCC
rnacentral:rRNA from 1 species